GACGAACGCUGGCGGCGCGCUUAACACAUGCAAGUCGAGCGAGAACCAGGGCUUCGGCCCUGGGGACAGCGGCGAACGGGUGAGUAACACGUGGGUAAUCCACCCUCGGCACCGGAAUAGCCCGGGGAAACCCGGAUUAAUGCCGGAUGGCCCGCCGGCCCUGCGGGGCUGGCGGAAAAGGUAGCUUCGGCCUCCGGCCGAGGACGAGCCCGCGACGGAUUAGCUUGUUGGUGGGGUAACGGCCUACCAAGGCUGCGCUCCGUAGCUGGUCUGAGAGGACGAGCAGCCACGCUGGGACUGAGACGCGGCCCAGACACCUACGGGAGGCAGCAGUGGGGAAUCUUGCGCAAUGGGCGAGAGCCUGACGCAGCGACGCCGCGUGAGGGAAGAAGGCCUUCGGGUUGUAAACCUCUUUCAGGAGGGACGAAGCCACUCGGGUUAAUAGCCCAGAGGGUGACGGUACCUCCAGAAGAAGCCCCGGCUAACUACGUGCCAGCCGCCGCGGUAAAAC
rnacentral:rRNA from 1 species